AAGACCUGAUGGUGUCAUUGAAGA
rnacentral:siRNA from 1 species